AUACGGAGGGUGCAAGCGUUGUUCGGAAUCACUGGGCGUAAAGGGCGCGCAGGCGGUUUUACAAGUCAGAUGUGAAAGCCCACGGCUCAACCGUGGAAGUGCAUUUGAAACUGUAAGACUUGAGUAUCAGAGGGGAAGGUGGAAUUCCCGGUGUAGAGGUGAAAUUCGUAGAUAUCGGGAGGAAUACCGGUGGCGAAGGCGACUUUCUGGCUAGAUACUGACGCUGAGGCGCGAAAGCGUGGGGAGCAAACAGGAUUAGAUACCCCAGUAGUCC
rnacentral:rRNA from 1 species